AACUAGUACAUGCAGCAC
rnacentral:miRNA from 1 species